AAAUUGUAGUCCUCAUUAGUGUGUAGAUUACACUGGAAAUAGUUUUAAGUGCAAACUUAAAACUUUUAUACAGUGCAAACUUUAUACUUUUAUAAACAUUAUAUAUAAAGAAAACUAUUAGCUGACUUGCCAUAUGGGUACUGUUACAUCGUUUUCCUCCAGCAAGGCGUUCUGUCAUAAAACUUAGGUCAAACUUUACUGGCAUUAGUAUCUUGCUUUAUGUCACUACUUUUGGUAAAUUUUAAAAGAUCAGCGAAGAAAGCGUUUAUGAUGCCUUCUGUUAAAUUUAAAGGUUUAUUAUACCCAUUAUGAAGCCAGUAAAAUAGCUGGAUAGGUUUCUCUUUCAGUGCAUUGCUAGACAGAUUAGCAGCUCUUUUCAAAAAAUUAAAUCUUAAUUUAAAAGUAUAGUUAAACUGGAUGGCAUUUACGUUUCUGUGGUUUAGAGUUCUCGGGGGAAUGGCAGCCAUGCACGUUGUUUAACAUGUAAAUUAUUGGAGGCCCAGAUGUCAGCGAGUGGUUGGAGUGGUGGAGCCGUUUCUUUGGAUUGUUUCUGUUUUCUCACUGAAGUAGGAAUCCAGAUUGCAGUUUGUAGGUGAUGGUGGAGAUGGAGAUGGAGGGGUUUUGAGGAUUGAGGCAGUCAGUGGACUUCUAAAGUGUGAAGCAUCUCCCUUGGGUGUAGAGGUACAGAGGAGGAGUGGGGUGCCACUUGGGGUGUUCCAUAUCGCAUACAAGGCAUUCCACACUCUGUUGUCAGUUUCGUCUGUACAUUGCUGCCCAGGGCGUACACCCGUGCUCUGCCACAUUCCAGGGUGGCAUCUGCCUCCACCGGGUUGUGGAUAGCUCUCUUCUUCAUUUUACAUAGAUCUUGUCUUUUGGGAAUUCAGCAUCUCCAUAGUUUUCUCUCUGCUUAGAAAUUCUUUCCUAACUCUUUCCCUCAACUGGAAUUACACUAUUACAUUUAAUUUGAUUUACAUUAAGUUAGUGAUAGGAGGAUCCUUUUUUUUUUUUUUUUUCUGGUUCGCGCAGACAUUCUUUAGAACGUGUUAGAAAAGUGACCUAGCGUUUCCACUUGUGUCCCUCUCCUACAACUGAUGAAAGGAGUUAGUGAAUCUUUUUGGAUGAAGAGUAAGGAAGUAAGUCACCUAGGCUUUGAAGACUGAGUAGAUUCUGUCUCUGCUUAAAUUUGCCCUCAUAGCACCAAGUGGUCCCAGACAACACAGGUAUGAAGCAGCACGGGUGUGUUCCAACACAACGUCAUACGAUGUAAGGAGACCCGAGGUUUGAACUUUAUAUUUUCACCUGUCAUAGUUAUUGCUAUUUGUUUUUUUUCCCCCCAACACUUAAAAACAUGUGGAUAUUUGCUAGGAGGGUGGAUAUCUGGGAGUUGGCAGCCAUCAGGAGCUUCACAGUGAAACCUGGACUCAUUCUCCCUCCCCCAUCCCACCCCCACACGUUGCUAACUCGCGGAAGAUGUAGAGCAAGGCGUGGGCCGGAUAUGGACACCACUACCUCUUCCAUCUUAGCUUUCAGACUCUUAAUCUGUAAGGACUCUCAGAAAGAGGCUUGAGAAAGGAAACUGUAUUAAGAUAAUUACCAUUGGUGGUGUCAGAGAAACAAACAGAAAUAAGGCACUUAGUUUUCAUUAAGGAUCUUACCGGUUAGGGUCAACAUGAAGACAUAAAAAUGAUAAUACACUGUGUUCACUAAUUACAGUUAGAUGUUCUUAGAAUAAAGGGGAAUAAAGCAGUGGUAAUUAGCUUUGCUUGAGUUGGCCAGAAAUGACCUCAGUCAUCUUUUGGAAACGCAGAACAUAUUUUCAGUUGAGAGCCUUUGCAAGAAUCUCAAACGUGCUAAGAAGAUCAUUGACCAUAUCAGAUCAGUAAAGAGCUCUGAAUGUAAAGAUUGCUCAGCUUUUUAAAAAAUAUAAUAUGAUAUUACUUCAUACCUCAUAGAAGUGAAACAUGGAUUUCAAAAUGGGCUCUACAUAAUACAUUUUAGUUUCCAGGUGAAUUUUCCUCUUACAAAAUAAAAUGGCAUUGUUUAUUCCAAAAUAUUUGAUACAUUGUUGCCAAAAAUGCUCUACAGAGGUAGUGGUAAUUUAGAUAAGGUAGAGAUUUUUUUUUAAAUGAAGAAUCUCUUAAAAGCACAUUUUUAAACAAAGGCAAUUAAUAAAACGAUGGGAUAAUCUUACAUUUAAAAAGAUACCUUGUAACUUUCAGAUUUCUCAGUUAGCAAACAUUCGCAGUCCGAUGAGAUGGCUCAGUAGUACUUGGCGACCAAGCCUACAGCUCUUGAGUUCAGUCCCUUAAGCCCACACGGGGAAGGGGAGAGCCAGCUCCCAGCACGUGGACACACAGACAUUCUCACAGAGCAACUAAAUAUGAGACACACGUAGUAAAUAACGUUUUCACAUUUCUUCUCAUUUUCUGGUAUUUGGCUUGUGAAAUAAUUCAAUGCUUUUUUUUCUUUUUUAACUCGAUUACUUCUAUAUUAGGCAAGAAAGGUUACUUUAGUAGGCUUUUAGAUUUUCUUUUGACACUUUGUUAGUGUCCUUGUCACCUCUGUCAUGCUUUACUAACUUGAAUGGAUAGAAGCUCAAAAAUAUUGGAAUGUAAUAUCUUCCACGCUGUUAGACCUGCCCUUCACUAAUAAAGCUAUGGAGUCACGACCAGUCAUCACAGUGAUUUCUGUGUGUUCAUCUGUAAGGGACUUCGCACUUCGUUGUUUUCUUCUCUUUGUUCUUUCUCGUCAUCCUCUUCCGUUCUGGUGGAAUCUCAUGAUUUAGUUUUAUUUACUUCUGGUUUACCAGUUUGUCUUUAGUGGCCGGUGACACUGUUUAUAGAGGUUCUCUAUAGCGCACUGUUUCUGCUAACUUCAUUUCCAUUAGUUUUUUUUAAUUUACCCUAUAGUUCUUCCGGUAAUGUGAUAUUGUUUAUCAUUCAUUUAUUGGCUCUACUACUUUUGUAUGUAGUAUUGAUCAACAUCUAUAAUUAACCGCUUGCCUUGUUCCAGGAUUUCAGUUUUCCAUGUACCAAUUCAUUUAGUCAUUUUAGGGACCCCAAGUAGGCACUGUAAUUGUUUUACCGAUGGCAAAUGGAGGCAAAACAGUUGAAUAACUUUUCUAACAUCUCAUAGCUGUGAAAUGACAGAGGCAGAAUUUGUGCUCGGUGGUUUGAUUAUAGAGGUCACAUUCUUAGGCACUGUACUAUACCACUGCUUCACUAUACUAGAAACAGCUAUAUUUGCUGAUUUUGUUGCCUCUGUUGUGUUGGUUAAGAUGCUUUUUGUUGAAGAAAAUAAUUAUGGGAAGCAUUACCCCAAGG
rnacentral:lncRNA from 1 species